GCUACUCCCGGCGUGGAGCAAAUCAGCAACUCGCAGCUGCCGGUGAAUGAAGCACCGCUGAUGUCUCGCAGGACACCAUCAAGGAGCCCAGAUGGAUGGGAAUCUGCACACAAAUGUAAUUUUCAUCUUAGAGAUUGGAGCACCAGAUGGCAAAAGGAUGGAGCCAGCCUGAACGGGUGCAUGUUGCCUCGCGUUCCGCAUCAGCCUGAGCCAAACCAAGAAGGUGAGAAGGUUGUCUCCCUUCGAUGGUUGACAUGUGAAGAUGACGCAAAGCUUCCAUUCGUCGGAAACGGGCAACCCUGGUACGAGGGCGUGAGGAAGGACCCAUAUAUGAUCCUGAGCAUGACACAAACGCCACAGCUUGCCAAGACCAAUGACAAAGCUGGCCACAGGACAAACACAGCCAUGUGAAUUUGACAAGAGGAGCAGAGUAGAAGGAUUAUUUCAUAGAUUAAAUAUAUAUAUUUUUUUAAAUAUUAGAAAUAUCAGAUAGAAGAGCAGAAAUUGAAAAAGAAAAAGAGCUGCAUAAGAUGAAGUUAGUUAUGAAAAUAGAGUGUAAAUUCACAGCUAAGUCCACCUCUCACUUUGGCACAGAGCUGCUCUGACAACAGAAGUUUUGUAUGCGUCACACACGCGGCUCCCACAGAGAGGAGACGCUGCACAUCAGACGGAAGUAUCCAGAUCCUAGCGAUAAUAUUUGUUGUCAACUUUUCAUUCUCUGGAAACACAAUGUGUGGGUGAACUCGAUAUAUCCGCCAAGGAAGUGGUUGGAAUGGAGCUGCCGGUCCAACUCUGACUUUAGUGUGGCAAUAAUAGA